rnacentral:tRNA from 1 species
GGAGCGGUAGUUCAGUCGGUUAGAAUACUGCCUGUCACGCAGGGGUCGCGGGUUCGAGUCCCGUCCGUUCCGCCA